rnacentral:rRNA from 1 species
GUCGCAAGAUUAAAACUCAAAGGAAUUGACGGGGACCCGCACAAGCGGUGGAUGAUGUGGAUUAAUUCGAUGCAACGCGAAAAACCUUACCUACCCUUGACAUGUCAGGAAUCCUCGAGAGAUCGAGGAGUGCCCGAAAGGGAGCCUGAACACAGGUGCUGCAUGGCUGUCGUCAGCUCGUGUCGUGAGAUGUUGGGUUAAGUCCCGCAACGAGCGCAACCCUUGUCAUUAGUUGCUACGAAAGGGCACUCUAAUGAGACUGCCGGUGACAAACCGGAGGAAGGUGGGGAUGACGUCAGGUCCUCAUGGCCCUUAUGGGUAGGGCUACACACGUCAUACAAUGGCCGGUACAGAGGGCUGCCCACCCGCGAGGGGGAGCUAAUCCCAUAAAACCAGUCGUAGUCCGGAUCGCAGUCUGCAACUCGACUGCGUGAAGUCGGAAUCGCUAGUA